rnacentral:lncRNA from 1 species
AGCAAAAACUCUUAGAAGAAGAAAGAAAAAGACGCCAGUUUGAAGAGCAGAAGCAAAAGCUCAGACUUUUGAGCAGUGUGAAACCCAAGACAGGAGAGAAGAGUAGAGAUGAUGCUUUGGAAGCCAUAAAAGGAAAUUUAGAUGGGUUUUCCAGAGAUGCAAAAAUGCACCCUACUCCAGCAUCGCACCCCAAGAAACCAGGUAGUUUUAAGAGGCAUUAUAUUUUUCUUUUCUGGGAAGGUGAUUUAUGUAGUCCCUGUUUCUUUACCUCGCCAUUAUAUGUGUGUGUGAAAAGUCAAUGUAGAACUCUUCCUUCAAGCUAAGUACAGAUUUGGAUGUUCUCAAAUAUACAGUGGCUUAAGAGCUCUGGUCUGGAUAACAACUGUCUUGGGAGGAAAAAACCUCUUUGUCUUCUAAUUAAAUAUCAGUAUGACAAUUUCACCUGUAAGUUUUCUGUAUAUAAAUAUGUUAACAUUAGUAAAAUCUAUUCACUCAGAGCAAAUGUAAUAAAGGAGUUUACCAUUUAA